AGUUCACUAUGUGACUACACGAACCCCUGUGUCAGUAGACAGCAUCUGGUACCACAAGGAUGGAACUGAAGAAUGACGGCAGGGAGAGAACAGAGCCUUUUCUUUCAGUGCUAGCGCUAGCUUGUCAUCACCAAUGAAACCUGUUUUCCCAUUUAGAGAAACCUGGGGGAAAAGGACAAUUUACCCAUCUGUAACAGCUGGUUCAUCUACCAAAAGAAACUCCUUGAGGAAAUCUUACAAAGUACAGAGUGCUGUGUGUCGCUUCUCCUGGAUACACCAUGAUUUGCCAUUCAGGAACCCCCACAUCUUGUCAUGAACUCAAUCAGCUACUGGUUUUCUACCCUUCCCUUCAUCUGAGUGUGAGAAUUUUCACUUGCAAACAUCUCCAGAAUAAGCCUUCUCAUCCAGACGAAGCAGAAGGAAAUUGCCUCCCUUAAUGAGCAUGAACUUAAAGAGGAAGAAAACGUCCCACCUUCCUGCCCCCCAAGAGCACAGUUUGGGUCCAUCGUGGGUGCUUUUUGAUGUGUCUGAACGUGUCCUUCACAUAAACAGCAAAGCCAGGGUUCUGACUUGUCCUGAAGUGUCUCCUGGAACUUUUCACAAUUGUCAUUUACCAACUCCUGCACUGCAGCUGAAUUGCACCUCAAAGUAACUGGACAUCGCCUCUCUAUCUUCCUCAUUUUGGUUUCAUCUCUCCUCUUCAUGCAUUGUCCUAAACUGCUGGGUGGUGCUGUUGGGUUCAAUGGUUUCCUUUUGCCACUCCAGCCAAGGGCAGCCUUAUUCCAGUAGCCUGUUUGUUCUGCACAGUGUUACCUAAGUGUUGAAGGGCCGAGUCCUGCAGUCCUUACUCUUGCUGGUGCUUCCCUUAAUUUCAGUGCAGGUGUUGCUGGAGAAGGUUUAUGUAAAGAACGUAGAAUAGCUCCAAUCCUAUGUCUAAAUUUAAGCAGAUCUUGGUGCCAGUGUGGAAUUUCAUUCCCUCUCUACAGCCCCGUGAGGCAGGAAAGGCUUCUCUGGAAGGAGGAGGGCUGCAUCUGUAUGGCCCCUGAUCAGGCAGUGCUGUGGGAUUCACAGAGUUAAAGUAGCUGUAUAUCGGUAUCACCACUGCCGAAAGUCCUGUUUAUUUUAAUGACCACUGAGUUGGAUUGAAAAAAAAAAAAAAACAAAAAACAAACAACAAACUUUCAGAAGUUUCAAUAGAAGAGCAAAAAAAGGUCCUGGAAACGGGAACUUCUGAGAACUCCACGUGUCAAGCUGUAAAGUCUUCAUAUGCUAUAAAAAGAGCCUUUAACACUUGAGCGUUCAUCCUUUAUUCAGCUAUCUGCUAAGUGCUGCUGCAAACUCAGCACGUGCUGGAAGCGGGAGCCUCUUAACAGGGGCUUUUUGGGGGCUGUUUAAUAAACAUACACUGGAUACAAAUUUAGCCAAUAAAAGGUUCAUGUAGUAUGUAUGUAUGUAUAAUACACGCACAAAAGGGCUAUUCAAAAUGCAUAGCAACCACUCGGCAGGGUUUAAUUUUCCUCAACAGUUUUCCAUUUUCCUUUAAAUUUGGGAUGGGAGUGGGGGGUAGCAAUCAGAACCCUUGGCAUAAAUGGGAUAAUAAUAAGGAAGUUCCCGGUAUUGUUGAUGUUACAGUACUUGACAAAGCAUGCAGCUGAAUGCAGAUAAAAGAAAGUUUCUGAUUAAAACAGACCGUAUGAAUG
ensembl:lncRNA